rnacentral:lncRNA from 1 species
UCCCAUGGGAUAGAAGAACACAAGCUCCCCUGUGCAUCAGAGACAGGUGAUCAAGGGCUGUCCUUCAAGUGACAGUCACAAAACCAGGACACUAGAUGUAAAAACUGGGGUAGCAGACACAUAUUAGAGCUCCCAUGUGAGAGAUACUGGUGCUCUGGAGCACAGUAGAAGGGAGGGCAAAGAUAGUUCCCAUCCUCUGAGGCCUCAGGAAAGAUUUACAGUGAGCCCUUAGAUGUGUGCUUAAUUAGGAGCCUACUCCUCAGGCUGCAGCUAUGAUGAUAAUCUAACAGGCUUCUUAACUGAGAGCCUGAGCUCCUGGGUGUGUUGCCUGUUGCUCUGCCCUUGGGGUGGUGGUUAUUUAAGAACUCUUUCUGCAUUUGUUGCAGUCCUUUGGGACCUAAAUAUAAGCCCUGCUGACCACCAAGGCCAGGCAAUGUAAAGAAAAUUUUCAACAGUAGCCACAAAAUUCAGGAUAUUAGAGAUAGGUAUAAAUUCCCUUCUGUACAAUGCCAGUGAGCUGGGACAAGGCAGACAGAGAUGAUCAGAGGGCCCCUUCUAGGCUUCUGUAAAUGUACCAAACCAGAAACAUGCCCCUCAGGCCAAAGUUCCUAGACAAGCAAAUAGCUCUCUUUCUCAGAAACUGGGGAGUGUCUUCGGUCUGUCCCCUAUGCAGUGCCCUGGGAAGGGUUUAUUGUCUGCCAAGAACUAUCUCUCCAGCUGUUACAGGACCCCCUUGGUGUCCAGAGCCAAGAGAUCAGAGAGAGUCCCUUGGGUUGCAGCUGCAAAACCAGGUCAUUAGACAUAAAAACUUGGUUACCAGAUAUAUGUAGAAGCUCUCCUCAGGAAGAUACUGGUGAUAUGAAGUAUGCAGAGGAGACCCCAAAGAUGGUACCCAGUGCCUGGAGCAAGGGCCAGGGGCAGUGCAAAUAUGGCAUUCACUGAAAAAAGAAAAAUGAAAGGGAAGGAGACAAAAAAAAAAGGGUAAAAGGAAAUAAAAAGAAAAAAAUAGAUGGCAUCCACUGGUUUUAGCAAGGCAGAGAGUGCAGGAAGAUGGUGGUUGCUGGGCUCCAUCCUCUGGGAGUAUCUCAGCAGGGAUACUUAGACUAGCACUUUAAAAUUAGGAAAUGAGUCUCUCUCACCUGAAGUCUGAGUGCUUUUCAAAGGGCUGCUUCUGAGCUGGGCUCUAGGGCAGCUGGGUCUGUGUUGGGGACCUUUAAGAGAGAUUCCUGUUUGCCACAGCCCCACAGGUCUCUUAGAUAGGAGCCCCAUUGGUCUUGAAAGCCAGAUGUUUGGGGGGCUUGGUUCUCAAGCGCUGGUCUUAAAUUUGGGGUGCCUGAUGUGAGUAUGAAUCCUUUACUCCUGAGGGAGAAGCUCUGGGUUUUGAGUUCACUCCUGAUUGUUGGUUGCCAAGCCAGGGGCGGGAUUUAUGAUGAGGUGAUUUCAUAAAGCAGGUGGCCUUUCCUACCUGCUUUGAUGUGGUUUCCUUCAUCAGCAUGAAGGAGUUGCCUCAGCAGUUUUAAGAUUAUUUUUAGAGGAAAUCAUUCUCUAUACAGCUGUAGAUUGAGUUUGCCCAUGGGAGGAGGUGAAUUCAGGAUCUUCUAUUGCCAUCUUGAACCAUAACCCUCAUAUUUUUAAAACAGAUCAGGGUUUAGAAACAUGGAGUCAUCCUUGACACCAGUCUCUCUCUCUUCCCUCAGUUCCAUUUAACCCAUCACCAAGGGUGCUGCUUUUUCUUCUCAAGAUUUCUGCUUUUUCUUCUCAAGAUUUCUGAAUCCAUCCACUGUUUCCCUCUGCUGUCCUCAUCACUAUCACCAUCCAGGCCCAUCAAACCAUUUUCUCCUGUUUGGAUAACUAUGAUAGGUUCUGAACUUGUCCAUGUUUAUGUGGCAACUUCUCUACUCUGCACCACAUCUUUUAUCCACUCCGAAGGCCAAGUGACCUUCAUACAAGUUAAAUCAGGGAGUACCAGUUCUCCUAUUUAAAAUACUCUGCACCUUCCCUAGACCAGCACCUCAGCUUGGCCUGCAAGGACCCUCAUUACCUGGUCCCAGCUUAGCUCCCCAGCCUUAUUUUACAUUUUACUCCUCCUUGCUCUUUCUGCUGUAGAUGGAUCAGGCGGCUUUCAGUUUGUCACACCUACCGUCUUCCUGCAUUUGGACUUUUCGUGCAGUCAUCUGGAAUGUUCUUUCAUUUGCUCCUAUUAAUUCUUAGUUCUUUGUUCCACCAUCACCUCCUCUUAGAUUGCCUGGACCAGGGCAGCCUCCCAUUAAAGAUGUUCACAGCACUGUUUCUCUUCUUUAGAACAUGUGGUACAGUUACAUUUUCUCUGUGCUAGGCGGAGAAAAACUGACUUCUUGAUAGUUGAAUUAAGGUAAAUAUAAUCAAUCUAAGAGCUCAGCUCUAUUAUGUAUAUAUUUGUACUCUUAACAAGUGUCUCUUGUCUAAGCAGAGUUCUAUGAAAACCAUACGUACAUUUAAAAAGGCUAGAAAGAAAUAACAAAAUGUAGUUAGCCUUGAAUGGUAGGAACAUUGAAAACUUCCCCCAGUCUUUUUCUGCUCUUUGUAUUUUCCAGAAUUUCUAGAAUGAUAUGGUACUUUGAAAAAUGAGUAAAAUAAUUGCAAUAUAUGUAAAAAUGUGUCUAGAUGGAAUAUAUAGGUUAUGACUAGACAUAAAGCUAGUCUGUGUAAUGUUGUCUUAGUUUAACUACACUUUCCAUGUGACAAAAGUUGGAAAAUACCAUUCUUGUUUCAAAACUUUUUCAGAUGACCUGAGAAUUGAAAAAAGCAGUGUUACUUCCUUGAUAGGGGGUGGGAUCUGAUUUAUUGAAUUGUUUCCAUUCUCUGCCAUGCCUGGAAGGUACAUUGGCAGAAAUCUCAAGGAGUCAGAAGAGCUCCUUCUAGCUUCACACACACAGACUCAGCUGUUGAACUGCUAGAGUGGCUCCAGGGCCAGCUCAGAGAAGUAUUCAGGGUGGCACCAUUGCCCUGGCAAUGGCGUGGGAGGAAUGGGGCUUCAGCGGCUGCCUUUGCCCAGGUCUUUAUGAUGACCUGUGUUCUGCUGCUGUCUAAGGCCAGGCAGAGGGUGAAUGGAAUCCAGACCUCUGUAUAAAGACUGUGUAGUCCAGCAAUAAGAAUUUUUCUCCCUAUGGCUUGGUGUACUCUAUAUAACUUUUGGUGCAUCACCAAAAGCCGAGUGUUAAAAUCACUAUUUGCCUAAGGCUAGAACCAAGUGCCAUCAUUCAAAAUGACUUUUGAGACAUGAAAAUAGAAAAUUGUAUCAUAUUGUAAGUUUAAGUAUUACUUAAUUAUUAUCUCAUUGAGGUAAUAAUUUUGAGGUAGUAAAGCUUCUGCUUUUGCUUUAUCUUCAGAAGAUGAGAAGAGUUCCCAAGUAGAAUCUUUUUCCAAAAAGCUUCAUGCCCUAAUGGAAUAUGAUAAAUAAAAACUAAAUACAGUGCUUAAAGGUUAUUAAUUUAAUAUCAUGAAAGCUAGUAGAACACAUAAUUCUACAAAGAUUAGAAUUGUAAUCUAACUUGUUUUAUUAUUUAACUUAUUAUUUAUCUGAUUAUAAAUAUUUAUACUUCAAAAUACAUACAUGUUCUCUCUAUAAUAUGGCUAGUGCUAGAUUUAGCUAUUAAUCAAUUUCACUAUUUAGCCGAUUGAAACAUUUUACUAAUUGUUUUUACAUUAAGUUAACAGUUUCGUAAUUAACAUUAAUUUUUGCAACUUUUUUUGGGGGGGGGCACCUGUGGCAUAUGGAAUUUCCCAGGCUAGGGGCGAAUCAGACUACAGCUUCCAGCCUACACCACAGCCACGGCAACACCAGAUCUGAGCUGCAUUUGUGACAUAUACCACAGCUCACAGCAACACCGGAUCCUUAACCCACUGAGUGAGGCCAGGGAUCGAACCUGCAUCCUCAUGGAUCCUAGUUGGGGUCAUUAACUCCUGAGCCACGAAGAGAACUCCAAAUUUUUGCAACUUUUUAUUCUUGCAAUAAGAAACAUACAUUUUUACUUCUGAUAGACUAUCAAUGCACUAAGUGUAUAAGGAUAUUUUUCAGUUCUGGUUUUCUCUCUAUAUAUAUGUUUAUAGAUAGAUAGAUUUGGAAUUGAUAUUCUGGCACUAAGAAUAGAGUACCUUCCUUGUUCUCACUAUUGACAUUGUUAUACUGUUUGUAUAUAAUGGUACUUGGAUCACUCAGAUUAAAGUGUUGUAAAAGAUGUUGAUCUACAUAGACAUAUAUCUAUUGAGUUUUCUGAUGCAUUGCAUCCUGGUUAUUUAAAAAUCACUCCUUUAGAUAGUCACUGACUAUCUUAUCAUGUCUUUCCUACCAAAGCAGCAACUUAAGGACCAACUUUCUUUUUUUUUUUUUUUUUUCUUUUUUCUUUCUUUUUUUUUGGUCUUUUUAGGGCUGAACCCUUGGCAUAUGGAGGUUCCCAGGCUAGGGGUCUAAUUGGAGCUGGAGCUGCCAGCCUACACCACAGCCACAGCAACAUCAGAUCCAAGCCGCGUCUGUGACCUACACCGCAGCUCAUGGCAAUGCCAGAUCCUUAACCCACUGAGCAAGGCCAGGGAUCAAACCUGUAACCUCGUGGUUCCUAGUCAGAUUCGUUUCCGCUGUGCCAGGAUGGGAACUCCAG